GAGUUGGUGCUAUAGUGGUUAGAAUAGCUGCCUUGCAAGCAGUUGACCCUGGUUUGAGUACCAGCCAAUGCA
rnacentral:tRNA from 1 species